rnacentral:lncRNA from 10 species
ACCUCUGGGCCUGUGGUGGGAGGGACUGAGGAAGAUCUCUGAAAUGCCCUGGAGACAUUUUCCCUACUGUCUUGACACGUGUCCCAAGCAGCCCUCCUUGGCAAAUCUACAUUUCCUUACCCAACCAGGACCUGUGGCAAACAGUCUGGCCUCUCCUUGUCCUAAUUCCAAAGUUCAGGAAUCUGACUGGCCCAGCCUGGCCUCUAGAGUGGUUGCCUGUGAGUCAGGUACCUGCUUCUGCCCCAGUUAACUGGACAAGGAGGCUGGGCUGCAUAGAAGAACCAAGGACCCAGGAGACUCCCUGGGCUUGUGGGCUGAGCAGGUACCUACUGAAGAAACCUGAAGAAAACUGAAGAAACCUACUUCAGUUUGGCCGGUCCUGGGGACUAGGAGCAGGCCAGGUGGGCCACGUUUCUGCCCAGUCAUUUCCCAGUGCUGAGCUUCUUCAGGGGCUAUACUCCAGUGCCCCUUCAGACAAUUGGUGAAGGGCCAUUAAACAGAAAAAAAAAAAAGUUGGUGAGGAAGAAAAAGGCUCAAUUAAAAAGCUCCAAAUAUGACCCUGCUCUACUACUGUGAACUGAGUACUAUGUGCUUGGAUGUGUUAAGGACGGAGGCCAUUGCCAUGUGAAGAAGAACCUACCUUCCGUCUUCCCACCCUGACCCACUGAGAAACCUCAAGCUUUGGACUUGUCCAUGCUGCCCUCUAACCCUAGAUCACAGUUCUGAGUGUGAAUACUGCCAGCCCAGAAGAGAACAUUCAUGCUGGAUGCAGUGGCUCACACCUGUAAUCCCAGCACUUUGGGAGGCUGAGGUGAGUGGAUCACUUGAGUCCAGGAGUUUGAGACCAGCCUGAGCAACACGGCAAAACCUCAUUUCUACAAAAAAUACCAAAAAAAAAAAAAUUAUCCAGGCAUGGUGGUGCACACCUGGAGUCCCAGCUAUUUAGAAGGCUGAGGUGGGAGGCUCAUUUGAGCCCAGGAGGCAGCAGUUGCAGUGAGCCGAGAUCAUGCCACUGCACUCCAGCCAGGGUGACAGAGUGAGACCCUGUCUCAAGAGAAAAGAAGGAGGACAUCCAUUGCACUCAACUGCACAUGCAUUGGGAUGGUUGGAAACAUCUGCAUGACCUCCUGCUUUUUGUUAGUAUUAUUGUUGGAUUCUUUCAUCGAGCUAUUUGCAUGUUGUGUAAACUGCAGUUCCCAAUAUUUGUGAAAACAUUUUGUUUGCUUGUUUGUUUAAUUGGGGAAUUUGAAGGCUUUGUGAUUUUAUUAUUCUUGUUGGUUUUUUUGUUUGUUUGUUUUUGAGACAGGGUCUCACUCUGUCACCCAAGCUGGAGUGCAGUGGCGCGAUUUUGGCUCACUGCAACCUCUGCCUCCUGAGCUCAAGAGAUACUCCCACUUCAGUCUCCUGAGCAGCUGGGACUUCAGGCGAGCACCACCACACCCUGCUAAUUUUUAUAUUAUUAUUAUUAUUAUUAUUAUUAUUGUACAGACAGAGUUUCGAAGCAAGUCACUAAGUCCAGUCCGCACCAAAGGGGAAAAGAAUUAAGUCCCACUUCCCAGAGGAGGUGUAUCAAAGAAUCUGUGGACAUCUGUUAAAACCACCAUGGUCAUUAAUAUUUUGAAGAAAAUGCUUUAAGGCUAUCCAAAUGUUGUGUUGCUCCUUAACAUUUCAUUCACUCUUUUAGCAUUCAUCAGUGGAUCUUGCCUUUUUAACAUAAAUAAUGUCACAUUAGCCAUUGUUUGACAAAAUACAUAAUGUCAAUAAGCUAUUGUGAAAUCAGGUCUUGUAUUGUACUAACCACAAUAAAAUCUACACGGUCUAGAUGAAUUUAAAAGGUAUUGCAUUCAGGGCUGAUUCAGAGCUGGGACCUGUGGCCAUAUUAGCUUAAUUAUUGAAAUACAUCUGUCCCUACUCUGUUCUAAGUCCCAUUUCUGCCCAACUCUUGGGAAACCUCUCCACAGUUAAAAACAACUUUCUAGACAUUUCUGUUAAGUAUACUGUGGUAUUAUGACAUAUAUUGGUUUUUGUGCACAGUUCCGGGUUCAUAACUCCCAUAGCCCUUGUUACAGUCUUUUGUUACAAUGUUGGGCGUGUUAGGCCUCAGGGGCAGGCCUCAGGAAACAGAAUCUCUCUUUCUUCUGCCCUCCUUUCAUCUGCCCCAAGGCAGGCCUCUAAUCUACCCCCACCUUUCUGACUAUGAGUAUUAAGACCCUGUACACACUGAGGAAAGGAAUGCUGAUGUCAUGAAGCUUCUAUAAAAACCCAAAAGGGCCAGGUGUGGUGGCUCACACCUGUAACCCCAGCACUUUGGGAGGCUGAGGUGGAAGGCUUGAGCCCAGGAGUUUGAAACUAGCCUGGGCAACAUAAUGGAACCUGGCCUCUACCAAAAAAAAAAUUAAAAAAUUAGCCAGGCAUGAUGGUAAAAGUCUUUAGUCCUAGCUACUUGGGUGGCUGAGGUAGGAGGAUCACUUGAGCCCAGGAGGUCAAGGCUGCAGUGAGCUGUUAUCCAUGCCACUGCACUCCAGCCUGGGCCACAGAGCAAAAACUUGUCUACAAAAAAAGAGAAAACAUGGCCAGGCACAGUGGCUCAAGCCUGUAAUCCCAGCACUUUGGGAGGCCAAGACAGGAGGAUCACCUGAGGUCAGGAGUUCUAGACCAGCCUGGUCAACAUGGCGAAACCCCAUCUCUAGUAAAAACACAAAAAAUUAGCUGGGCGUGGUGGUGGGCGCCUGUAGUCCCAGCUACUUGGGAGGCUGAGGCAGGACAAUCUCUUGAACCUGGGAGGCAGAGGUUGCAGUGAGCCGAGAUCAUGUCACUCCACUCCAGCUUGGGCAACAGAGCAAGACUCUGUCAAAAAAAAAGAAAGAAAGAAGGAAAGAAGGAAGGAAGGAAAGAAGGGAGGGAGGGAAGGAGAAAGGAAGGAAGGAGAAGAGAGAGAAAGAGAGAGAAAGAAAAUAAAAAUAAAAAACAAAACAAAAAUACCCAAGAGGACUGGGUUGGGAGAGCUCCGGGUAGCUGAACACGUGGAGGUUCCUGGAGGGUGAUGUGCCCAGGGAGGACAUGGAAGCUCUGAGUCCCUUCUCCCAUACUUUGCCCUCCACGUCUCUUCAUCUGUAUCCCUUGUAACAUCCUUUAUAAUAAAGCAGUUAACAUGUUUCCCUGAGUUCUGUGAGCCGCUCCUGCAAAUUAAUCCAACCCAAAAAGGGGGUCAUGGGACCACAACUUGAAGCCAAUCCCCGCACUGGCUUCAGGAAGUUUUGGAGGCCCGGACUUGCAACUAUUUCCCAGGGACUAGGGAAAAAGAGAAGAGAAGUGUCUAGGGAUGGGAGGACCGUCCUGGGGACUGAGCUCUCAACUGUGGGAUCUCACGUUAUCUGCAAAGAGACAGUGUUGGAAUUGAAUUG